ACCCCUAUUGAUUUUGAGGUCACUAGGUCAAAGGUCAAGGUCACGGUGACCCGAAAUAGUAAAAUGGUUUCCGGAUGAUAACUCAAGAACGCAUACGCCUAGGAUCAUGAAACUUCAUGGGUAGAUUGAUCAUGACUCGCAGAUGACCCCUAUUGAUUUUGAGGUCACUAGGUCAAAGGUCAAGGUCAUGGUGACCCGAAGUAGUAAAAUGAUUUUCGGAUGAUAAUUCAAGAACGCAUAUGCCUAGGAUCAUGAAACUUUAUAGGUAGAUUGAUCAUGACUCGCAGAUGACCCCUAUAGAUUUUGAGGUCACUAGGUCAAAGGUCAAGGUCACGGUGACCCGAAAUAGUAAAAUGAUUUUUGGAUGAUAACUCAAGAACGCAUAUGCCUAG